UCUUACGGACAAGCAAAGCAAGUGGUUUCUUGGGAUGGAAUCCACUCCUAGUGAAAAUGCUGGGAA
rnacentral:pre_miRNA from 1 species